GCUAGGUGUUGUGGUGGGCACCUGUAGUCCCAGCUAUUUGGGAGGCUGAGGCAAGAGAAUCACUUAAGCCCAAGAGUUGGAGGUUGUUGUGAGCUGUGAUGCCAUGGCACUCUACUGAGGGUGACAUAGUGAAACUCUGUCUCAAGAAAAGAAGAAAAAGUGAGGGUUUUGACUAAAUCCAGUGAUUUAGAACAAACCAUUUUAUUUUAUUUUAUUUAUUUAUUUAUUUUUUAUUUUUUUGAGACAGAGCCUCAAGCUGUCCCCCUGGGUAGAGUGCCGUGGCAUUACAGCUCACAGCAACCUCCAACUCUUGGGCUCAAGCGAGUCUCUUGCCUCCG
rnacentral:SRP_RNA from 1 species